rnacentral:rRNA from 1 species
UCCCUACGGGGCGCAGCAGCCGCGGUAAUACGUAGGGAGCAAGCGUUAUCCGGAUUUACUGGGUGUAAAGGGCGUGUAGGCGGGCCUGCAAGUCAGAAGUGAAAUCUGGGGGCUUAACCCCCAAACUGCUUUUGAAACUGUGGGUCUUGAGUGAUGGAGAGGCAGGCGGAAUUCCCAGUGUAGCGGUGAAAUGCGUAGAUAUUGGGAGGAACACCAGUGGCGAAGGCGGCCUGCUGGACAUUAACUGACGCUGAGGCGCGAAA